rnacentral:rRNA from 1 species
UAGGGAAUCUUCCACAAUGGACGCAAGUCUGAUGGAGCAACGCCGCGUGAGUGAAGAAGGUUUUCGGAUCGUAAAGCUCUGUUGUUGGUGAAGAAGGAUAGAGGUAGUAACUGGCCUUUAUUUGACGGUAAUCAACCAGAAAGUCACGGCUAACUACGUGCCAGCAGCCGCGGUAAUACGUAGGUGGCAAGCGUUGUCCGGAUUUAUUGGGCGUAAAGCGAGCGCAGGCGGAAGAAUAAGUCUGAUGUGAAAGCCCUCGGCUUAACCGAGGAACUGCAUCGGAAGCUGUUUUUCUUGAGUGCAGAAGAGGAGAGUGGAAUUCCAUGUGUAGCGGUGGAAUGCGUAGAUAUAUGGAAGAACACCAGUGGCGAAGGCGACUCUCUGGUCUGCAACUGACGCUGAGGCUCGAAAGCAUGGGUAGCGAACAGG